rnacentral:sRNA from 1 species
UAAGAAGACCCCAAACCCGAAUACUUCCGC